GACGAACGCUGGCGGCGUGCUUAACACAUGCAAGUCGAACGGAAAGGCCCUGCUUUUGUGGGGUGCUCGAGUGGCGAACGGGUGAGUAACACGUGAGUAACCUGCCCUUGACUUUGGGAUAACUUCAGGAAACUGGGGCUAAUACCGGAUAGGAGCUCCUGCUGCAUGGUGGGGGUUGGAAAGUUUCGGCGGUUGGGGAUGGACUCGCGGCUUAUCAGCUUGUUGGUGGGGUAGUGGCUUACCAAGGCUGUGACGGGUAGCCGGCCUGAGAGGGUGACCGGCCACAUUGGGACUGAGAUACGGCCCAGACUCCUACGGGAGGCAGCAGUGGGGAAUAUUGCACAAUGGGCGGAAGCCUGAUGCAGCAACGCCGCGUGCGGGAUGACGGCCUUCGGGUUGUUAACCGCUUUCGCCUGUGACGAAGCGUGAGUGACGGUAAUGGGUAAAGAAGCACCGGCUAACUACGUG
rnacentral:rRNA from 1 species